rnacentral:lncRNA from 1 species
UAAUUCAUUAAUUAUAUUUUUAUGUUUGACAAGACCUUCGGACUUUUAACCUACGUACCAAUAUAAAAAUGAGGGAUCAAAACCUCGUAGUUCGUGAUACAAAUUUCAAAGUGGGUGCAUUACUUUUAACAAAACUUAAGUUUGAAAGGCACAAAGGCUUAAAAAUGGGUUGAAUGAGUUAGUUCUUUUUUUGGCUUUUG